UGAUGGUUCUGCUCAGAUGCUAAGGAUCUACCAAGAGGUCAAUCCCAAACAGAGUUGUUCCAGUACUAGACAUAGCAGUUAUGUUAUUUCCAAUCCCACUAGCAAGCCUUGCAAGAACGAGCUAAAACAAUCGUUCCACAAAAGUGAAAACGAAGGUCUAGAGCUCUCCAGAGCUAGACAAAUUCUCUCACUCUGUUCCCUGGCCGUGUGGCGUCCAGCCUGUGUUCAUCUCUGUUCCCCCGGGGCCAGAGGAAAAAGCGGAGGGUCAGUGCACUAGGCUUUACUGCCAAGAGACCCACCUAUGCUUGGCUGCCCCUAAGGGAAAACGGAAGUCUGACAAGAGCAGAAGAGUCUGGCAUAGGUACCCAGUGGGUGGUUGUCCCUGUGACAAACUGCAGAGGUAGCCAUAGCACACUGGCUCAGGGAUUGACAUCUCAUCAAGAGAAGCUGCUUCCUCAAACUUCAUUCUUGCCAGAACGGUUGAAGAGCCCCCUCCUCAGCCAGGAAGCCCCUCUCUUUCCUAAAUUCUCACAGAGAAGGUUUUGCCUACUCUCCCUAUUUAUAAGAAGCCCAGCAGGUGCAACUUGAUACUCCGGAGGAGGCAAUUGGUAUUGCUCUCAAGUUGACCUCCACGGAUGGACCUUCAAGUGCGUUCCUGUCACGAUAGGUCAGCAUAGCUGUUGGGAAUUCCAGGCUGCUGUCCCUUUUUUUCAGAGUUGAAUGAACUGUUUUCCCUUUCGCUAGCCUCUUGAGCUCGUGGUUGGAGAGUGGGGGUUUGUUUCUUACACUUGAAGUCCCUUCAACUCAACUGGCUGGAACAUUCCUCCACCUCCUGGAGAACUGGCUGAUUCACUUGGCCCUCAGGCCCCAGCAGUAAUACCAGAAGAACCAGAUAAACCACACAGACAAAAGCAGUGCAGGAAAAGCCUCCAGAAAUGAGAUUCUCACAGAGCCGCGGCCCACCAUACAGGCUGGAACCUGCCUGCUCAGGCUCAUGGGGACUGGCUGCUGAAAUAAAACCACUUCCCAGCACGCCCUGCAUCUUAAUGUAAUAGAAAACAGGUCUCAGACACAACAGCAGCAGCAGCAGCAACAACAACAACAAGCACCCAUCAGUUUCCCAAACUGGGAAAGUUGCAGCUUGACCGUGAAGAGAAACUCAGCUGAUGCUAACAUACAGUUAAGUCAGGUGUUGGAAUUAUCUGGAAGGCUUUUCAAGUAGCCAUCCUAAAAAUGCUUCAAUAAGCAAUUAGACAUUCUCUUGAAACACAUUGUAAAAAUAGAUAAAGUCGUAGGCAAGAAAUAGAAGCUAACAGGCCAGAGAAGAUUACUAAGUGGAUAAUAAGGUUCUUGCUCUUGUAAGCAGGAGGGCUGGAUGGCCACCUUCAGGAUGUGUGUAACACAUCUGUAAUCCCAGCAUGCCUACGGGGAGAUGUGGGGGUGGAGACAGAACUCUCUGGAAGCUUGUGGGCCACCUAGCCUAGUAGAUGCAUGUAGUGAUGAAGAACUAGAGACCCUGUCUCUGACAAGGUAGAAAGCAAAGACCAACGCCUCAGGUGGUCCUCUGACCUCCACCCGUGCUUCUGUAUUCACAUAUGUGCGCAUGUGUACACAUGUGUGUGCAUUCUCAUAUGCAAACACACAGGUUCUCGCGCACACACAUGUGCACAUCACACACACACAUGAAAUAGUAAUAAAUUAAAGAAAUGGAAGUUAUAAAAACUGUACCUGGAUCCAGCUUAGCUCUGCUCUGCGGAUACUCUCUUAGCCUCCCUUUCUAGCUAGUUCAUCACCGUUCCCUUGUGUCAGUUGACAAUCCUCAGAAACAUUUUCUGCUGGGGACCCCAGUGACCACUCCAGGCUGGGACUCAUUCUGCCAUCAUCAUAGAGGCUUCUUGCACUAGAUGGAUACUCAUAGCUACUCAUAGCUGGACAACGUGCAGAGGGUUAGAGACUUUGGAACACUCAGCCCUAAAGGGGCUGACUUCAGCAAACCGGGGAUGGGGAGCAAUGCAGAAGAGGAAGCAGAAAGAUUGUAAGAGCCAGAAGGGAUGGCUGACUCUAAGGAAAUGGUGUUCUCCAGACACAACAGGGCUGAUGCACAUAAUGAACUCAUAGAGACUGCGGCUGCAUGCAUAGAACCCGCACAGGUUCAAGCUAGAUGAGGCGCUAGCACUGAGAGAGGAAAAUGGACAUGGGAUCCCACCUCUAACUAAGAAGCUAUUUACAAUUGAUACCUGCUGACAUAGGAGCUAUCAUUCUUCCCCAAUAGAGACUCUGAACACAUUAUUCACACGAGGGACAGCCCCAUGCCCAG